rnacentral:rRNA from 1 species
CCUACGGGAGGCAGCAGUGAGGAAUAUUGGUCAAUGGACGCGAGUCUGAACCAGCCAAGUAGCGUGAAGGAUGACUGCCCUAUGGGUUGUAAACUUCUUUUAUAUGGGAAUAAACUGUUCCACGUGUGGGAUUUUGUAUGUACCAUAUGAAUAAGGAUCGGCUAACUCCGUGCCAGCAGCCGCGGUAAUACGGAGGAUCCGAGCGUUAUCCGGAUUUAUUGGGUUUAAAGGGUGCGUAGGUGGAUUGUUAAGUCAGUUGUGAAAGUUUGAGGCUCAACCGUAAAAUUGCAGUUGAAACUGGUAGUCUAGAGGACAGUAGAGGUGGGCGGAAUUCGUGGUGUAGCGGUGAAAUGCUUAGAGAUCACGAAGAACUCCGAUUGCGAAGGCAGUUCACUGGACUGCAACUGACACUGAGGCUCGAAAGUGUGGGUAGCAAACAGGAUUAGAUACCCCAGUAGUC